AUCACACAUUUUGUCACCUUACACCUCAGCUUGAUCUGUACCCGCUCGCUGUUUGAGUGCUUUGGACAUUUCGUUUUUAUUUUUUUAAUUAAAAAAAAGUCUGCGGUGACACGCCAUCUCCUCACAGUAUUAAGUGAAGUAGAACAAGAGUGACUUUCGUUGACACGAAACUUUUAAUUAUUCUGAAGUGAUUGCAGUUAAAACUCAUAACGUCACGUUGCGUUUGCAUCCUGCCACCGAACAGAGGGCUCAUUUCAUGGCUGCAAUUGGACUGAGAUAUUAAGCUGAAUUUCAAAGAGACUGUGAUACCUGGUGUAAUUUUACAUGACAGAAGCUGAAGCCUCAGCAGGCACCUAACUGUUCAAGAUGUGGAAAAACCUCCUGCUUUCUGCAGUUGGUCCUGGAAAAAUCGGCACCGUCGCGACAGUCGUCGGGGUGUUCAUUGCCACUGUUCUUCUGCAGACCGCGACGUGCGCUUGCAGAACUUUUGAAUGUAAUGAAAUCGUCGUCGUGCCUUUUUUUUUAGUAUUUUUCCUGAUGCUCCUGAUAGACCAGACAUUUCGGAGCACCGCGAAACAUCCAUCUACGUUUUUAUGCCUUGUACUCAAGCGCGUUAUCAGAGCGUUUCUAAUCAGCCUGCUGUGGAUUGUAGCAUUGUUGAUUUUCACGGACUGGUAUGGUUGUUGUAACAUUGAUGAAAACACGAGUAAGCUGUUCUGCAAAUCUAAGAACCUCACAACCGAACAAGAAGCUCGAAAAGCUGAAGUGGAAAUCAAGUCAAGGCUUGCUGGUUACUCUCUGCUCCUCAGCAUGACUGUUGUCGCUUUCUUCAUGACUUGGAGUGGGUGGAGAAAAUGGUUUAAAAAAAAAUACAGUUGGUGCAACAAGAAAACUUUUUACUACAAACUGAUUUUGGAAGAAGAGAAAAAAGUUCUGGAGGAGCUUUUGAGGAAAGAAGCAAAUGAAACUCUGACUAAAGAAAUCACGAGCAACAUAAAAAGGAAAGACUGGGACGGCUGUUUUAACGUUGCUCAACAAAUGAUCAGUAAUGCAAAACAUCAAAAACCAGAAGCAACCAACCAGCAGAUCAACUGGAUCAGUGAGGGGAGCUCCAGCAGAGGGGGACAGCAUCAUCAAGCAGCAGCACAUCAGCAGGCUCAAAACUAUGAACUUGAUGAAGUUGCACAAGAAAACACAGACACCAUGCCGUUAUUUAACGAAUCCGCCUGAAAGACACAGUUGACACAGUGACGCAGCUCCAGAAACAACGCAAGCGACCACAGACAAGUUAUACACCUUGACAGAGUGGGCGCUCCUUGUCGUCACAGCUGAGAGGGGA